CAGUCGCCGCGGUAAUACGGAGGGAGCUAGCGUUGUUCGGAAUUACUGGGCGUAAAGUGCACGUAGGCGGUUAUUCAAGUCAGAGGUGAAAGCCCGGGGCUCAACCCCGGAACUGCCUUUGAAACUAGAUGACUAGAAUCUUGGAGAGGUCAGUGGAAUUCCGAGUGUAGAGGUGAAAUUCGUAGAUAUUCGGAAGAACACCAGUGGCGAAGGCGACUGACUGGACAAGUAUUGACGCUGAGGUGCGAAAGCGUGGGGAGCAAACAGGAUUAGAUACCCCCGUAGUCCCUGUCUCUUAUAC
rnacentral:rRNA from 1 species